ensembl:miRNA
AUAAAUGUAUGUAUGCAUGUAUGCAUGUAUGCAUGUAUGCAUGCAUG